GAUGAAGAACGUAGCGAAAUGCGAUAAGUAAUGCGAAUUGCAGAAUUCAGUGAGUCAUCGAAUCUUUGAACGCACAUUGCGCCCUGUGGUAUUCCGCAGGGCAUGCCUGUUCGAGCGUCAUUUCAACCCUCAAGCCCCGCUUGGUGUUGGGCCCCGCCCGCCGUGGCCGGCCCUAAAGACAGUGGCGGCGCCGCCUGGCCCUCAGCGUAGUACAGCUCUCGCUCCAGGGUCCGGCGGACGCCUGCCAGAACCCCCCAACUCUGUGGUUGACCUCGGAUCAGGUAGGGAUACCCGCUGAACUUAAGCAUAUCAAUAAGCGGAGGA
rnacentral:misc_RNA from 1 species